rnacentral:rRNA from 1 species
AUUGAACGCUGGCGGCAUGCUUUACACAUGCAAGUCGAACGGCAGCACGGGAGCAAUCCUGGUGGCGAGUGGCGAACGGGUGAGUAAUAUAUCGGAACGUGCCCAGUAGUGGGGGAUAACUGCUCGAAAGAGCAGCUAAUACCGCAUACGACCUGAGGGUGAAAGGGGGGGGAUCGCAAGACCUCUCGCUAUUGGAGCGGCCGAUAUCAGAUUAGCUAGUUGGUGGGGUAAAGGCCUACCAAGGCAACGAUCUGUAGUUGGUCUGAGAGGACGACCAGCCACACUGGGACUGAGACACGGUCCAGACUCCUACGGGAGGCAGCAGUGAGGAAUAUUGCGCAAUGGAGGAAACUCUGACGCAGCGACGCCGCGUGAAGGAUGAAGGCCCUCUGGGGUUUGUAAACUUCUGUAGAGAGGGAAGAAUUUUCGCCUUCGGCGUAAUUGACGGUACCUCUAAAGUAAGGGUCGGCUAACUACGUGCCAGCAGCCGCGGUAAU